AUCCUUUCCUAAGUACUAGAGCCGCAGGAAUCUGAAACCGAGAACUCCUGCAGCCUUGGUACUUAACAAGGGGA
rnacentral:pre_miRNA from 1 species